rnacentral:rRNA from 1 species
CCCUUAGAUGUCCUGGGCUGCACGCGCGCUACACUGACGACUUCAACGAGUUUUUUUCAUUUGAAAAAGUCCUUGGCCGGAAGGUCUGGGUAAUCUUUUAAAAGGUCGUCGUGAUGGGGCUAGAUUCUUGCAAUUAUUAAUCUCCAACGAGGAAUUCCUAGUAAACGCAAGUCAUCAACUUGCAUUGAUUACGUCCCUGCCCUUUGUACACACCGCCCGUCGCACCUACCGAUUGAACGUUCCGGUGAGACCUUGGGAUUUGGUCUUUGGUACUUUAUUGUGCCGUUGACCGAAAAACUUGAGCAAACCUUAACGUUUAGAGGAAGGUGAAGUCGUAACA